rnacentral:rRNA from 1 species
AACGAACGCUGGCGGUGCGUCUUAAGCAUGCAAGUCGAACGGUAAGAAGAGAGCUUGCUCUUUUCCUAGAGUGGCGGACUGGUGAGUAACGCGUGGAUGAUCUACCUUUAAGAUGGGGAUAGCUUCUAGAAAUAGGAGAUAAUACCGAAUAACCUUAUCGUGUUAUGACGUGAUAAGAAAAUGGAGCGUUAGCUCCGCUUGAAGAUGAGUCUGCGUCCCAUUAGCUAGUUGGUAAGGUAAAGGCUUACCAAGGCGACGAUGGGUAUCCGGCCUGAGAGGGUGAACGGACACAUUGGGACUGAGAUACGGCCCAAACUCCUACGGGAGGCAGCAGCUGAGAAUCUUCCGCAAUGGACGAAAGUCUGACGGAGCGACACCGCGUGAACGAUGAAGGCCGGAAGGUUGUAAAUUCUUUUGCAGACAAAGAAUAAGGAUAGAAGGAAAUGACUAUCUGAUGACGGUAGUUAUGCGAAUAAGCCCCGGCUAUU